CCCAAACGUGUGUAUGCACAUAACGAAGGUGCAAUUGUAAUUGUGCGGCUCUCCGGCCUGCCUGGCACGGCCCUUGCUUCCAACAGGAAAGCUGUUUAAAGUCCGUGAGAAAAUAUCUCCAUCCACCUUACACAUACUGUGUAUGCAUACAUUACUAUAAACACAAAUGGGCACAUAAAAACUAUAAAAUCACGCUAAGAAAGAACUAAAAAAUUGCUCUUUGGCCCCAAAUCUGUCAUUCAGGACAAUUGAAAUUUCUCCUUAAGCUGAAGGAAGCAUCAGCUGAGCAAAGUUACCAUGACAGAGAUCAAGCAAAAUGCUAUUAGGUAAAUACCCAACACAGUGAAGGUCUUUAUUGAUUUUUCAGCAAAAUGAAGUUACUGUACUUAUUUUAAAGAUCAAUUUUAUCACCUGAGCUUAGGUAUGUUGGACUUCAAACAAAGAAAGAGGGCAAUCCUUUAUAAACCCCUCUGUGACCCUAAACAGC
rnacentral:lncRNA from 1 species